rnacentral:rRNA from 1 species
CAAUAGCGUAUAUUAAAGUUGUUGCGGUUAAAAAGCUCGUAGUUGGAUUUCUGCUGAGAACGACCGGUCCGCCCUCUGGGUGUGUAUCUGGCUCUUUCUUGGCAUCUUCUUGGUGAACGUUGCUGCACUUGACUGUGUGGAGCGCUACCCAGGACUUUUACUUUGAGGAAAUUAGAGUGUUUCAAGCAGGCAUACGCCUUGAAUACAUUAGCAUGGAAUAAUAAGAUAGGACCUCGGUUCUAUUUUGUUGGUUUCUAGAGCUGAGGUAAUGAUUAAUAGGGAUAGUUGGGGGCAUUCGUAUUUAACUGUCAGAGGUGAAAUUCUUGGAUUUGUUAAAGACGGACUUCUGCGAAAGCAUUUGCCAAGGAUGUUUUCAUUGA